rnacentral:rRNA from 1 species
UACAGGGGGUGCAAGCGUUAUUCGGAAUUAUUGGGCGUAAAGAGCGUGUAGGUGGUUCGGUAAGUUUGAUGUGAAAUCCCUGGGCUCAAUCCAGGAAGUGCAUUGAAUACUGCUAAACUAGAGUGCAGGAGAGGAAAGCGGAAUUCCAGGUGUAGAGGUGAAAUUCGUAGAUAUCUGGAGGAACAACAGAGGCGAAGGCGGCUUUCUGGACUGCAACUGACACUGAGACGCGAAAGCGUGGGGAGCAAACAGG